UGGGGGAUAUUGCACAAUGGGCGAAAGCCUGAUGCAGCAACGCCGCGUGAGGGAAGAAGGUCUUCGGAUUGUAAACCUUUGUCCUAAGUGAAGAAACAAAUGACGGUAGCUUAGGAGGCAGCUACGGCUAACUACGUGCCAGCAGCCGCGGUAAUACGUAGGUGGCAAGCGUUGUCCGGAUUUACUGGGUGUAAAGGGUGCGCAGGCGGGACUGCAAGUUGGAUGUGAAAUACCGGGGCUUAACUCCGGAGCUGCAUCCAAAACUGUGGUUCUUGAGAGAUGUAGAGGUAAGCGGAAUUCCGAGUGUAGCGGUGAAAUGCGUAGAUAUUCGGAGGAACACCAGUGGCGAAGGCGGCUUACUGGGCAUUUUCUGACGCUGAGGCACGAAAGUGUGGGGAGCAAACAGG
rnacentral:rRNA from 2 species